rnacentral:pre_miRNA from 1 species
AAAAAGGCAAACCCUGAGUUUCCGUGUCUAACUUUGACUGUCCGUCUUAUAUGAAAUUCUUUUAUAAUUCUUAUUUUUAUUGUUGUUAGAUGAUAAAACAUAAUUAAUAUUUUAUGCGUGACUUGUCUUUUUAAUUUUUUUCAUAAUUUUUUCAAAUAAGACGGACGGUCAAAUAUUGGGUACAGAAACC